rnacentral:tRNA from 1 species
GAGAGAGGCUCGCUAGCAACGUAAACUGCUAAUUUUCGCCCUCCCCGGUUGAACUCCGGGGCUCCCUCG